ensembl:lncRNA
AUAAAAGUGGUGUGGUUGACACAAAUCUGUGGAGGCUUGUUUCCACCACUGGGAGUGGAUAUCUACGAGUCAAAAUUUUUACCUACUAACUCAAACUUCUGAUAAAAUAACUUCAGUGGCGGGAAUGUGCUUCCAUAAAGUCGUUUCUGGUUAAAAAGGCUAAAGCUGGAAAUUUCCUAGCAGUAGCAGGUCAUAGGCUUGACUACCAGUACACAUUUACACACACACAGAGGGCAACAAGUUACUUAUUUUUCUGAGACUAGUAAGAAACUGAACUGUUUGACUGAUCUCAGCCUCAUCUGGGGUCAGCUGUGAAGCCGUACCUUAUUGCCCAACGAUGUUGCAGACAUCAUUGCUUCUCUGGAAAUGUCUUUCACAAGAGUGACUUUGGUUUGGGAUAUUCAACCAUGACAUACCCCGCUGCCAUGCUGACUGACAGUCGGGGUGCCGGAGACGCUGCUAUCUCUCGCCUUGCCGCUGCCUGAUCCUGGGGAGCAUCCCUGACCACCUCACCCACCAGUUUCAGCUGCUUGAAGACUCCAGUGUUUGCUGACGAGGCUGCGGGGGCCUGUUACUCCCACACCGGGGGGUCAGCUAAUCCACUCGCUGCCCCGUGGAGUGUGAGUGAUGGUGGCCCAGCACGGGCAGGCUUGAGUGAGCAGCAGAUAGAUAUGAAACAAACCCCCGGAGAGCGGACCGGGGCGACCACGAUCAGGAAAAUGUCUGCUACCCCGCUUCGAGCCUCUGCUGUGAUCACUGAGAAGGGUCAGUGACAUCC